GAGACCCACGCCAACAGUUGCCAGCAUGUCCUCCGGGAUGGUGGGGACACUGUUGGGACCGCCUCUGCUAAAGAGGAGGAAGGAAUGGGCAACGGUAGGUCAGCAUGCCCCGAAUUAUCCGGGCUACACGCGGGCUACAAUGGUCAGGACAAUGGGUAUCGACACCGAGAGGUGAAGGCAAUCUCUUAAACCUGUCCUUAGUUCGGAUUGUGGGCUGCAACUCGCCCACAUGAAGCUGGAAUCCGUAGUAAUCGCAUCUCAAAAUGGCGCGGUGAAUAU
rnacentral:rRNA from 1 species